GCCCAGUUUGGCGAGCGCGAGCCACGUCCACACGAACAGGGGCGCGUUCCCGUGAAAGAGCGCGACGAUCUGACCUGGACGCACCUGCGCGCGCUGCCGAAGCGCGUUUGCCACUCGGUUACUGAUCCUGUCACCAUCACGUAAGACGACUGAUGGAUUCACCUGUGGUUCCAGAUGUGUAUAUGUAGACGGCAGGGGACGUGAAGGACACGAUUGCUCUGAGCGUUCGAGGAACGUCUGCGUUGGAGGAUCCCUGCGCUGCUCUGGUCAGAUGACUCAUGCGUGAUGAUUUCAGCUCUUCAGCCAUGAUGAAGAUGCUCAUGUCCUCCUGCUGGAGAUCUUCACUCACCUCCUCGACGGCUCGCCGUAGCGCUGAGACCACAACAAACCCAACAAUCACAUCAUCAGAGCGGCUUCACCUGGACCACGACAGACGGACCCGAUUCAAGGACGGCUCUUAUUUACACACCCUUUGACAUAAUAAAAACAUAGAUGCCCUAUUGGCCGCUGGAUCGCAUGUCAACGGCGCCGCCAUAUUGUGCGGGGCAACAUGCUGUAACUCUCAUAAGUGGACUGAAGAAAAGAUGCCUGACUAUUUUGAGGUUUUACAAAUCGUUGCACAAUCCAAACCACAUAUCGGGGAGUUACCUUUCACAUUUUAGCCAGUGGAACCAGGACAUAACAAACCUCAAGGAAGGCUGAAGAAAGCCUGUCAGCAGACUGUUCUGUGCUUUUCCAAGAGCCCUCGUCUGCCUAUUAUUAUGAUAUCACUACGACUUAUAUUAUUAUAUGAUUGUACUAUUCACUAUUUUAUUUGCUAUUUUUAUUUUAUGACUAUAUUUUACAAUUUAUGAUAUACUAUCUGCUAUUUUAUUCAUAGUUAU